UGCAAGUCGAACGGUAACAGGUCUUUCGGGAUGCUGACGAGUGGCGGACGGGUGAGUAUCUAUAGGAAUCUACCUAGUAGUGGGGGGCAACCUGGGGAAACUCAGGCUAAUACCGCAUAAUUCCUAAUGGGGAAAGAGGGCAUCUGCUUGCAAGCUCUCGCUAUUAGAUGAGCCUAUGUCGGAUUAGCUUGUUGGUGAGGUAAUGGCUCACCAAGGCGACGAUCUGUAGCUGGUCUGAGAGGGCGAUCAGCCACACUGGGACUGAGACACGGCCCAGACUCCUACGGGAGGCAGCAGUAGGGAAUUUUGGACAAUGGGCGAAAGCCUGAUCCAGCAAUGCCGCGUGUGUGAAGAAGGCCUGCGGGUUGUAAAGCACUUUCAGUUGGGAAGAAAAGUUUUAGAUUAAUACUCUAAAAUUUUGACGUUACCAAGAGAAGAAGCACCGGCUAACUCUGUGCCAGCAGCCGCGGUAAUACAGAGGGUGCGAGCGUUAAUCGGAAUUACUGGGCGUAAAGCGUACAUAGGUGGCUAAAUAAGUCGGAUGUGAAAGCCCAAGGCUUAACCUUGGAAUGGCAUUAGAUCCUGUUUAGAUAGAGUACAGUAGAGGGAAGCGGAAUUCCUAGUGUAGCGGUGAAAUGCGUAGAUAUUAGGAGGAACACCAGUGGCGAAGGCGGCUUUCUGGACUGAUACU
rnacentral:rRNA from 1 species